rnacentral:rRNA from 1 species
CCUACGGGAGGCAGCAGUGGGGAAUCUUGCGCAAUGGGCGAAAGCCUGACGCAGCCAUGCCGCGUGAAUGAUGAAGGUCUUAGGAUUGUAAAAUUCUUUCACCGGGGACGAUAAUGACGGUACCCGGAGAAGAAGCCCCGGCUAACUUCGUGCCAGCAGCCGCGGUAAUACGAAGGGGGCUAGCGUUGCUCGGAAUUACUGGGCGUAAAGGGAGCGUAGGCGGAUAGUUUAGUCAGAGGUGAAAGCCCAGGGCUCAACCUUGGAAUUGCCUUUGAUACUGGCUAUCUUGAGUUUGGGAGAGGUGAGUGGAACUCCGAGUGUAGAGGUGAAAUUCGUAGAUAUUCGGAAGAACACCAGUGGCGAAGGCGACUCACUGGCCCAAUACUGACGCUGAGGCUCGAAAGCGUGGGGAGCAAACAGGAUUAGAUACCCUGGUAGUCCACGCCGUAAACGAUGAGUGCUAGUUGUCGGCAUGCAUGCAUGUCGGUGACGCAGCUAACGCAUUAAGCACUCCGCCUGGGGAGUACGGUCGCAAGAUUAAACCUUAAAUGAAUUGACGG